rnacentral:rRNA from 1 species
GACGAACGCUGGCGGCGUGCCUAAUACAUGCAAGUCGAACGCUUUUUCUUUCACCGGAGCUUGCUCCAUCGAAAGAAAAAGAGUGGCGAACGGGUGAGUAACACGUGGGUAACCUGCCCAUCAGAAGGGGAUAACACUUGGAAACAGGUGCUAAUACCGUAUAACACUAUUUUCCGCAUGGAAGAAAGUUGAAAGGCGCUUUUGCGUCACUGAUGGAUGGACCCGCGGUGCACUAGCUAGUCGGUGAGGUAACGGCUCACCAAGGCAACGAUGCAUAGCCGGCCUGAGAGGGUGAUCGGCCACACUGGGACUGAGACACGGCCCAGACUCCUACGGGAGGCAGCAGUAGGGAAUCUUCGGCAAUGGACGAAAGUCUGACCGAGCAACGCCGCGUGAGUGAAGAAGGUUUUCGGAUCGUAAAACUCUGUUGUUAGAGAAGGACAAGGAUGAGAGUAAAAUGUUCAUCCCUUGACGGUAUCUAACCAGAAAGCCACGGCUAACUACGUGCCAGCCGCCGCAUAAA